rnacentral:rRNA from 1 species
UACGGAGGGUGCAAGCGUUAUCCGGAUUCACUGGGUUUAAAGGGUGCGUAGGUGGGCAGGUAAGUCAGUGGUGAAAUCUCUGGGCUUAACCCGGAAACUGCCGUUGAUACUAUCUGUCUUGAAUAUAGUGGAGGUGAGCGGAAUAUGUCAUGUAGCGGUGAAAUGCUUAGAUAUGACAUAGAACAUCGAUUGUGAAGGCAGCUCGCUACACUAUGAUUGACACUGAGGCACGAAAGCGUGGGGAUCAAACAGG